GUGGCUUAGUGGUAGAGUGCUUGCCUCACAUGCAUGAGGACCUGGGUUCAAUUCCUCAGC
rnacentral:tRNA from 1 species